CUGCGCACACUUCCCCUAUUAUUAAACACUAUGUUCAAAAGGCGUCGGGGGACUUCCCGGAGCCACGGAGCCCGUGUCGCGCGACCGAACGGCCCACGGAGCUCAUGGACCUGAGCGCCGCCGCUGCGCUGUGUCUCUGGCUGCUGAGCGCGGCUCCCAGCCCUUCAGCUCACCAGGCAGCCUCAGGAAUGGUUAGAAAUGAUGAUCCAGUUUGGUGAGAACGUCCAGCAUGCAACAUGCUUCCUGGCUGGGAAACAAGCUAAUGUUCCAAGAUGGGAAACAAGACUCUCCAGAGAGGAGUUUCUCUGGUGUUCUCCAUCUCAGAUAAAGCACAGACUAAACAUGAGCAGCCUUAGUGUAAUUUUAUUUUUGCAUUUCACUUUACAUGGUGGGACAAACAGCUUUUGUCUUUGGUUCUUUGAUAAAGAGUCAUGAUCAGGGCUUUUAGCUGCAAAUUUUCUGCUCCAAAUGAAUAGUUCAUGCAUUAAGAACCAAACAAGGUUUAACACUACCUGUGACCUGUCCUUUUAGUGGAUGAUGUAAGUGGUCCCGAAAAGUUUGUGAUUGUUUUGUGUUCUGUUUUAUGUAUAAAUAAAGAGGCAGAUCUUUCGAGUCCUCUCACUGUGAA